rnacentral:rRNA from 1 species
CGGACGGGUGAGUAAUGCUUGGGAAUCUGGCUUAUGGAGGGGGAUAACUACGGGAAACUGUAGCUAAUACCGCGUAAUAUCUUCGGAUUAAAGGGUGGGACUUUCGGGCCACCUGCCAUAAGAUGAGCCCAAGUGGGAUUAGGUAGUUGGUGGGGUAAAGGCCUACCAAGCCGACGAUCUCUAGCUGGUCUGAGAGGAUGACCAGCCACACUGGAACUGAGACACGGUCCAGACUCCUACGGGAGGCAGCAGUGGGGAAUAUUGCACAAUGGGGGGAACCCUGAUGCAGCCAUGCCGCGUGAAUGAAGAAGGCCUUCGGGUUGUAAAGUUCUUUCGGUGAUGAGGAAGGUGUUUGUUUUAAUAGAACAAGCAAUUGACGUUAGUCACAGAAGAAGCACCGGCUAACUCCGUGCCAGCAGCCGCGGUAAUACGGAGGGUGCGAGCGUUAAUCGGAAUGACUGGGCGUAAAGGGCACGCAGGCGGUGACUUAAGUGAGAUGUGAAAGCCCCGGGCUUAACCUGGGAAUUGCAUUUCAUACUGGGUCGCUAGAGUAUUUUAGGGAGGGGUAGAAUUCCACGUGUAGCGGUGAAAUGCGUAGAGAUGUGGAGGAAUACCGAAGGCGAAGGCAGCCCCUUGGGAAUAUACUGACGCUCAUGUGCGAAAGCGUGGGGAGCAAACAGGAUUAGAUACCCUGGUAGUCCACGCUGUAAACGCUGUCGAUUUGGGGAUUGGGCUUUAAGCUUGGUGCCCGUAGCUAACGUGAUAAAUCGACCGCCUGGGGAGUACGGC